rnacentral:piRNA from 1 species
UCACAGCCAGCAUAACCUACCAAAGGCUAGU